UAGGGAAUCUUCCGCAAUGGACGCAAGUCUGACGGAGCAACGCCGCGUGAGUGAAGAAGGAUUUCGGUUCGUAAAACUCUGUUGUUAGAGAAGAACAGCGCAUAGAGUAACUGUUAUGCGUGUGACGGUAUCUAACCAGAAAGCCACGGCUAACUACGUGCCAGCAGCCGCGGUAAUACGUAGGUGGCAAGCGUUGUCCGGAUUUAUUGGGCGUAAAGCGAGGGCAGGCGGUCAAUUAAGUCUGAUGUGAAAGCCCCCGGCUCAACCGGGGAGGGUCAUUGGAAACUGGUUGACUUGAGUGCAGAAGAGGAGAGUGGAAUUCCAUGUGUAGCGGUGAAAUGCGUAGAUAUAUGGAGGAACACCAGUGGCGAAGGCGACUCUCUGGUCUGUAACUGACGCUGAGGUUCGAAAGCGUGGGUAGCAAACAGG
rnacentral:rRNA from 1 species